CUUAGUUUCUCCCAGAUCAAAACCAGGAAAUAAAAUCACUCACCAAAAGGAGCGCGGAGGGAAGACCCAACCCAAGGGGGACACAUGAGCAGCACAGAAGAGGAAGAAGAGCCAAGCAAGAUCACCGGGCUCAGGAUUCUUCCCCCCAUCAACCAGUGAUAAUACCAAACAAGACAAAUGGUAUUACCAACAUGUUUUCCCCUACCGGACCAUUGAACGAGGAAAAGGAAAAUAUCAUUCUCACCUCGUGCUUUCUAUUCAAACAAGAACAUAAAACCCGUGCGGGCAAACGGAUAAAGAAACAUCCUAAUUGAAGAACAAAGAUAACUUCAGCACAGUCGAAGCAACACUGGCUGGAGACAUUCCUGAAGCCAAACGGCAUGGAAUCAGAUAGGAAAACUAUAAUGCGCACACAACACGGACCUAAGAGACACGCCAACAUAUCGUAUUCACCGGCGUUGCACCUUCUAAUGCGAGUAAUAUCAAAUGGACUGGGACUCUCACAGAAGAUGUCCAGCUUAUCGGAAACUGGACCGAUGACAGGUUAUUUCGACAAGU
rnacentral:lncRNA from 1 species